GGUUUCUCUGUGUAGCCCUAGCUGUCCUGGAACUCACUCUGUAGACCAGGCUGGCCUUAAACUCAGAGAUCCUCCUGCCUCUGCCUCCUGAGUGCUGGGAGUUAAGGCACGUGCCACCACUGCCUG
rnacentral:miRNA from 14 species